CCGGCGCACGGGGUGAGUAACACGUAUGGAACCUGCCCGCAGCAGGGGGAUAAGCGGAAGAAAUUCCGUCUAAUACCGCGUAACACCGCAGAGGGGCAUCCCUCGGCGGGUUAAAGAUUCAUCGGCUGCGGAUGGCCAUGCGGCGCAUUAGCUAGUCGGCGGGGUAACGGCCCACCGAGGCGACGAUGCGUAGGGGUUCUGAGAGGAAGGUCCCCCACACUGGUACUGAGACACGGACCAGACUCCUACGGAAGGCAGCAG
rnacentral:rRNA from 1 species